GGGGACGUGGCGGAACGGUAGACGCGACGGUCUCAAACACCGUUGGGGUAACACCCGUGGGGGUUCGAUUCCCCCCGUCCCUA
rnacentral:tRNA from 1 species